UACGUAGGGUGCGAGCGUUGUCCGGAAUUAUUGGGCGUAAAGAGCUCGUAGGCGGUCUGUCGCGUCGAAUGUGAAAACCCGGGGCUCAACUCCGGGCUUGCAUUCGAUACGGGCAGACUAGAGUUCGGUAGGGGAGACUGGAAUUCCUGGUGUAGCGGUGAAAUGCGCAGAUAUCAGGAGGAACACCGGUGGCGAAGGCGACACGCUGGGCCGUACCUGACACUGAUGCGCGACAGCAUGGGGAGCAAACAGG
rnacentral:rRNA from 1 species